GUCGAGUCAGUAUCGUAUGGGCAAUUUGGCAACAAUGUAAGGAAACAAAAAAUUUGCCGUAAAGAGACUGAUACCGAAAGUUGGUCGUAGUUUUCAAGAUGGCGUCUGUAAAUCUCCACGCGAGAAAUCGUAACGAAGACAAAAUAAUGUUAUUUUAUUGUUUUGACGAUGCAAAAGCUUACAUAAAAAGAAAUGAAAUUGAUACGAAUAACCUACAUAAUUGGUUACAGCACAAAAAACUUUGGUAAUUCAGGUUUGUUGGGUCCAUGGGGUGAACCCUUAUAUGUAUGUGAGCCUUGGACAUCAGGUUCUGAAAUGCCACCAUGGUACAGACAAGAAUAAGAAGAGAAAACUGGAAAAGGAGAAGGUAUUGGACAGAAAAAUGACAAAGACAGUUAGCAGUGAGCAACAUUCAUAUGCUAAAUAGAAAACAAGGCAUGCAGUGCAGCUCUCCAAAAAAUUGGACUGUCCUGCUUCUAUCAGUCUGAAGGAAGUGUUGAUAUUCACCCCUGAAGAGGUUGGAUGUGUUGUUUUUCUUUUAUUUAAUUUACCCACAAGCAGGACAAUUACUGUACAUUACAUUGUUUUAUUGCAAUCAUAACACUUAAGAAACCUUACUAUUGCACCAAUGCUCAAA